GUGCCAGCCGCCGCGGUAAGACGUAGGAGGCAAGCGUUAUCCGGAGUUACUGGGCGUAAAGCGCGUGUAGGCGGAUUGGUAAGUGGUUCGUGAAAUAUCCGGGCUAAACUCGGAGGGGACGAAUCAGACUGCUAGUCUGGAGGCGGGUAGAGGGGUGCGGAAUUCCGGGUGUAGCGGUGAAAUGUGUAGAUAUCCGGAGGAACACCAGAGGUGCAGACGGCGCCCUGGGCCCGACCUGACGCUGAGACGCGAAAGCUUGGGGAGCGAACGGGAUUAGAUACCCCGGUAGUCC
rnacentral:rRNA from 1 species